rnacentral:pre_miRNA from 1 species
UCCUGAACCUGCUUCCCACACACCUAGGCUAGGAUACCCCUUGUAGGAGGCGGCUUCAAUGCCGGGGGUCGGUGACCAGGUCCUCCGGA